rnacentral:rRNA from 1 species
UACGGGGGGGGCAAGCGUUGUUCGGAAUUACUGGGCGUAAAGGGCGCGUAGGCGGCCUGCUAAGUCGGAUGUGAAAUCUCUCGGCUUAACCGGGAGGGGUCUUCAGAUACUGGUGGGCUUGAGGGCAGCAGAGGUCGGUGGAAUUCCCGGUGGAGUGGUGAAAUGCGUAGAUAUCGGGAGGAACACCAGUGGCGAAGGCGGCCGACUGGGCUGUCCCUGACACUGAGGUGCGAAAGCGUGGGGAGCGAACCGG